rnacentral:lncRNA from 1 species
UUUAUCCAAAGAUGUGUUAUUGCCGGAUACCAACGGUGUUAGGAUACAUACGCUACUCGGAAGGAAGUUCUCCUUGGUAUUACAACAGUACAACAAGGACUUGCGAACAAAGCCCUCGGGCCGUCAACGCUUGCAAUAGCUUUAAUAGUAAACGACACUGUCUGAAUAAUUGCGAAAACGCUGCGAGUUGGCUCCGGAACAACUCGAUAAGACGUAGAUAUGUGAAAGGGAGCCGGGCGUAAAUGAAAUGACUUCGCUGCAACCGAUAUCUAAGAAUAUCGGCAAUAUCUCGCGGCAAAUAAAGAACGUUGUUUUAUC